rnacentral:rRNA from 1 species
UACGUAGGGUGCAGGCGUUAAUCGGAAUUACUGGGCGUAAAGCGUGCGCAGGCGGUUUGUUAAGACAGAUGUGAAAUCCCCGGGCUUAACCUGGGAACUGCGUUUGUAACUGGCAAGCUAGAGUGUGGCAGAGGGGGGUGGAAUUCCAAGUGUAGCAGUGAAAUGCGUAGAUACUUGGAGGAACACCAAUGGCGAAGGCAGCCCCCUGGGUUAACACUGACGCUCAUGCACGAAAGCGUGGGGAGCAAACAGG